rnacentral:rRNA from 1 species
AGUGAACGUUGGCGGCGUGGAUUAGGCAUGCAAGUCGAGCGAGAACCGUAGCAAUACGGGGACAGCGGCGAAAGGGACAGUAAUGUGUAGGUACCUACCUCCGGGUUCGGGAUAGCUGCGGGAAACUGCAGGUAAUACCGAAUAACGUCUCCGGACCAAAGGUGUGAUUCCACCUGGAGAGGGGCCUGCAUCCUAUUAGCUUGUUGGCGGGGUAACGGCCCACCAAGGCGACGAUGGGUAGCGGGUGUGAGAGCACGACCCGCGUCAUUGGGACUGAGACACUGCCCAGACACCUACGGGUGGCUGCAGUCGUGAAUCUUCGGCAAUGGGCGCAAGCCUGACUGAGCGACGCCGCGUGCGGGAUGAAGGCCUUCGGGUUGUAAACCGCUGUCGUAGAGGAGGAAAUGCAGGGGGGUUCUCCCCUCUGUUUGACCUAUUCUAGGAGGAAGUACGGGCUAAGUUCGUGCCAGCCGCCGCGGUAA